UUUAAUUUCGAUUCUCUGAUAUAAGGAAAUUGGUAUAACUUAAAAUAUUUCAUCUAUCUGAUUAUUACACUUAAAAUCAUUACCCUGUUGCUUGAAAUCGUGUAGUUGGUAGUCAUUUUCCCUUGCAAAUAUUGUCUUGAUGGUGGCUUUGGUUGCUUGGCUCUACCUUGCAGAUCUAUUUGAGCCUUGUUUAGGGGCAUUAUGAGGCAAUAUGACAGCUGCAAAUGCACUGGUGGAAACAUAUUAUCUCUAUUUAACUUAUUAUCCUCAUUGUUUGUUAACCAUCCUUUGUGUGAUUAUUGUUAUUAAUCCUCGAAAAACAUAUUUAAUCUGGACUGGUUGAUACUAUGUUAUAAGACUGCUAUGUUAAUCAUUAGGAGAUAGAUUGUUGCAUAAUUUUCUGCAAAUAAUUUUAAUUUUGAGAUUGCUUUAUACUGAAACACAGGGCAGGCUUUUAUUUCUUACUUGGCAACUGUAGUUUAUAUUUGCUAUGUUGUAUUGUAGGCUAUUUCUGUGGCUGAAAGAGUUGCUGAUGAGUGUUGUGAACCUUCACCAGUCUUGCACAAUCCUCAGAUAGAGGUUCGGGGAGCCCAAAAGUGACUGAGUGGCAGCUUGUUUGAAGUUUACAUUCUUCUUUCCAUGGGCAAACACUGGGAUUGCUAAAGGGUGAGUAAGAUCUACUUCUUAAUUCCCUUAAAUUGUAAAAUAAUGUGGUGGGUUGUUGUUUAGGAGCAAGCAGGUGGCUUGCAUGGAGAGAAAAGGUGGAAUAUAUUGGGAGUGUUGUUUGUUUUGUGAAUGUUAACAUAUUGUUGUUCAAUUUGUUGUCAAUUUCUUGUAUUUUGUCUAAGUAAAUACAUAUAGUAUGCUGUGGUGGGUGGUUGUUGGAGAGAAAAGGUGGAGUAUUUUCUAUUAGGAGUAUUGUUUGUUUUGUGACUUAUAUUUUUGAAUCUCA